rnacentral:rRNA from 1 species
UACGUAGGGCGCAAGCGUUAUCCGGAAUUAUUGGGCGUAAAGAGCUCGUAGGCGGUUUGUCGCGUCUGCCGUGAAAGUCCGGGGCUCAACUCCGGAUCUGCGGUGGGUACGGGCAGACUAGAGUGAUGUAGGGGAGACUGGAAUUCCUGGUGUAGCGGUGAAAUGCGCAGAUAUCAGGAGGAACACCGGUGGCGAAGGCGGAUCUCUGGGCCUGUCCUGACGCUGAGGCGCGAAAGCUAGGGGAGCGAACAGG